AUGGCGACCGGCGCACGGGUGCGUAACGCGUAUGCAACCUACCUGUAACAGGGGGAUAACACUGAGAAAUCGGUACUAAUACCGCAUAACACUAUGAGAGGCAUCUCUUGUGGUUGAAAGUUUCGGCGGUUACAGAUGGGCAUGCGUUAGUAUUAGCUGGUUGGUAAGGUAACGGCUUACCAAGGCGACGAUACAUAGGGGGACUGAGAGGUUAACCCCCCACAUUGGUACUGAGACACGGACCAAACUCCUACGGGAGGCAGCAG
rnacentral:rRNA from 1 species